GCCCGCUUGGCUAAGUGGUAAAGCGUGUCACUUGUAUCUCCGAACGGUCCGAACCUACAUACCUAUGUGGGUAGGGCUAGAGAGAAGCCAUGACAAGAUCAGCGGUUCGAUUCCGCUAGUGGGCA